AGAAACCUCGUGCAUCACAAUAUCAACGACCGCAUGGCAGAAACCUCGUGUAUCACCACAACAUGUACAACAACAAUGAUGACAAUAUAUAUAAGAACACGACAAGUAAAUAAACUCAAGAACUUUCGAUCAUAAGGAGAUGAUAAAAUUGUCUCAUAAGGAAUAACCACAAUAGAGAAUACUAAGUGUGGUAAGAACAACUCAACUAGGGAGAAAAUAAUAUGAAGCAAUGAUCCCACAAUAUGUAAUUCAACAACAAGAAGAUAACGCGAAUCAAAUAAUUCCAAAUAAGGAAAUCUCAACUAAAUAUAGAUUAUCUAAACUUUUUUUAAGGUUGGGCAAUUUACGAAGAAUAUAUACAAUAAUUUCAAUUAAGGAUGAGCAGCGGGAAGAUAAUCAUUACCUUAAUCAAGACUAAUCAAUUACAGGGGAGAUAAUAAUGAUUUCCACUAAAGACGAGCAAUUAUGAAAGAUAUCAUGGCAAUAUAAGAGGUAAAAAUCUUCAGUUAAGAAAAAUAAGAGUCAAAUAGGCAAUAAGAAUGAAUCACGAGAAAUUAAUUCCAAUUAGAGCAUAUAGAGGUGAAACUAGUAAGUGGGAAACUCAAUCAUAUCAAGUACACAUUAAUACACAGUGAAUAUAAGGACCCAAGGACCCUAAAAGGCCAAUUUUUCAACAAAUAAGUUUGAGCACGCACUCAUCACCUCGCAUACACGAAUGAAAAUGAACAUAGCAGACUCAAAUCCUAAGGGGAAGUCUGCCACACAAGGUUAGGCAAGAUGCAUACCUCAAAGACGAUAAACUGAUACUCUAAAAUGCACUUCUCGCAUGAAAAGACCUCUGAAUGGCUCAAAUUUAACCAAAUAAACUUGAAAGAACAAACAAAACACGUAAGAGACUAUUCAAGAUCAUAUAGUUUAAUUCUUGAUCAAAUUCUAAAAAUCGGUCCAAAAGACGACCCCAUGCCCAAACCUUGGAACCCGAAGUUUUUUACAAAAACAUAAUACCCAUUCCGAUACGCGUUCAAAAAUAAAAACUUUAUCAAAUUCUGAUACAUUUGGUCCCUCAAAUCACAACUUUUCAUUUUAGAAUCAUUCUUCGAAGCCAACUCCUUCCCCAACCCAAAAUACAAUUUAAAUGAUAGAAAUAAAGACAAAUUGAUGGAAUAUACUUAAUUAUUGUUGAAGAACACUUAUCUAAUUGAAUUUUGUGAAAAACUCACCAAAUAUCGCCAAGAACCGAGCUCUAGAAGUCAAAAUGUGAUAAAAAUGGUGAAACCCUCAAUUUUGGAAUAUAUUAUGUCUGCCCAGGAUAUUUUGCAUCACGAUCGCGGAAGAAGAGAAGCGAUUGCAUAGAAGAAAUAGUUGUUGGCCCAAAGUGUGCUACGCGAUCGCGAAAGGAUUGAUGCGAUCGCCAAGAAGGAAAAUGGAUACAGUCCAAAUUUUGUGCUACGCAAUUGCGAACUAAACAAUGCGAUCGCGAGGAAGGAAAAGUGUUGAGGCCCAGAGCUACAAUAUGUGAUCGCGAACCUAUCUGUGCGAACACGAUGAAGGAAAAUAUGGUAGGUCGACAUUGUACUACGCGAUCUCGGGAGAAGAGAAGCGAUUGCAUAGAAGAAAUAGUUGCUGGCCCAAUGUGUGCUACGCGAUCGCCAAGAAGGAAAAUGGAUACAGUCCAAAUUUUGUGCUAUGUAAUCGCGAACUAAACAAUGCGAUCGCGAGGAAGGAAAAGCGUUGAGGCCCAGAGCUAGAAUAUGCGAUCGCGAACCUAUCUGUGCGAACACGAUGAAGGAAAAUAUGGUAGUUCGACAUUGUACUACGCGAUUGCGGCUGUGCCUAUGUGAUCGCAUAGAAGGGAAACACCAGAUAGCAGAACAACAGUUUAAACAUAGGUAUAAAUCGACCCGUGGCCCACCCGGAACACACCCUAGGCCACUAGGACCCCGUCUAAACACAUAAGCAAGUCACAUAACCUAACACAGACUUGCUCGAGGUUCUCAAAUCACAUCAAAUAAUGUUGAAAUGACGAAUUACACCAUAAAUCAAACUAUAUACUUCCAAAUUUUCCAAAUUCAAAAACUUGUGCCAAAGCUGAUCAAAUCAACCCCGGAAUGACACCAAAUUUUGCACAAAAGUCCAAAAUAACAUGACAGAGCUACUCCACUCUCAGAAUUGCAUUCUGACCCCGAUAUUAAAAUUUCACUAUUGAUCCGGAAACUUUAAAAAUUCAACUUUAGCAUUUCAAGCCUCAAUGAGCUACGGAUAUCCAAAAUACAAUCUGAAAACACGCCUACAUCCGAAAUCACCAUACGAAGCUUUUGAGAUCAUCCAAAACCCAAUCCAAAGUCGUUUACUCAAAAGUCCAAUUCCGGUCACAUUCUCACCGUUCAAACUUCCAAAACUAUAUUCCUUCUUCUAAUUUGGCUAUGAAAAUUAACUGAAUUCAACCAUGUAUGCAGGUCGAUACUUAUAUUAUGAAGCUUUUCAAGACCGUACGCCGCUGAAUGGCGCUUAAAUUCUCAAAAUAACUAUCUGGGUCGUUACACCCUAGAUGUGCAAUUUUCUAUUACCACCAGACCAGGAUUAUCCCAAGGUAGCCCAGUAAAACCUCUUAUUUUUUAUCUCUACAUUUCCAAAAUGAACAAUAGACGUUUCUCCAUCCCGGAACAUGGCAGUAGCCUCGAUCAGUACAUUGUUUGGCUGAAUGUCUAGCGAGGAGGGUAAAUUUGUGAGAACCAUCUUCACGUGAUUUUUAUCGCUUGGUGAAAGAUUUUCCCACCAAUCUAGUAAUAAUGAUUUCUAUAUACGUUGGACCAUGCCAAACUUGGGGACUUUGUGCCUCAUUUUCUACAAAAUAAACAAAGUUUGCCAUUUCCCCCCUCCGGGUUGGACUACUUACACAUUAAUGAUUAGCACACUGACACGGUUUCUCUAGAUGAUGCACAUAUCAUGAUCAUGCCCGUUGUAGUUAUGGAAAUCCAGAUGGCCUUUGGACAAGGCUUUCCUUAGAGGGUUAAUAUGCGAACAACAUACUAACACGUGCUAGGUUUGAGCAUCAAGCAUAUACAGUUCUUACCAGAGUAGGGUUUUUCUAUUGAAGUCUAGAAUGUUACCCUCAAGUGCACAACUUGAGAGGGAAAGGUGCGGAACAAUCGAUUGCACCGCUGAUCGAUUAGUUUUACUGCAAAUAAGUCCUUCCAAAUUAAAAAGGGUAAUAUAUUAGAGCUCGGACACUCAUCAUAUGCCGCUAUGGUAUUAAUUAUGCACGAGUGGAAUAUGAAUUAGAGCAUGUGAUUAUGAAAAAAGAGAAAUAACAUCUUAUCAGGUACUUUACAAGAUGAAAGCGAUAAAAUUCGGUAUUUAAUAAUUAUAAAGACGGGAAAGAAAGAAAAACAAGAAAGGAGUUAAUUUAGUUAAUGGAAAAUUAUAUUAAAGUGAUAAAAGGGUUAAGGAUUGGGAAAGACAUCAAGAUUGAAACCAACGAAUAGGAUUAGCAUAUUAUAACAAGAUUAAGCGAAGAAUUGCAUAGAAAAGGAGAAUAGGGAAAGGGAUGUGCAUGUAGCAAAUACAUGGCGAACUCAAACAUAAAAUAAAAAAGGCACGCUUAUCGAGGGAGUCUAAUUCACUCAAACCAAGUUUGUUAUGGUAAGAGUCUACAGAUAUUUCCAGCAGAGUCACCAUGUAGUUGCGCCCCCUUUUUGCUCAUGAAAUCGGCUUUUGAAAUUAACAACUAUUUUAAGAAAGGGAAAAAAUAGAUAUUAAAAGAGAGUCUCUACCUAACGGAUUAAGGUGCGUUAGGACACCUAUUGCAAAUGAAUCUGGUUUACUAGUUGCAUCACCAAAGAUCGGGUAAUGGUUCAAAUUACCUCGACGAGAAGCUGCUAGGCACUCGUUGAGGUCUACAAUGGUGGGUCCCGGCAAAACUCUAAUCACGUGAAUUAGUCUAAUAGAGAAGAGAAAGAGAGAAUUAUUUAAUAUGAAUUGCGGGUCCUAAGUUUUUUAGCCUAAAGGAUCACUACGUACAACAUAAAUAAUAUUUUGUAACUCCCCAAGACGGGGGUGUUAUCCAUAUUAUCCAACGGGCGCAAACUAUUAUCUCCUGCUACCUGAUUACUAUCUUUAAGUUAUUUACCUAAAUCACUCUAAUCAAUUCAAAAUCAUACCCUAUGCAUACAUCCCAUGCUUAUGGCCUAGGAGGCUUUGGACCUCUAUUUGUAUGGUUCUAGACUCAACUUAGGUUGUUCAAGAAUGGUAAAACUACGCGACCUACAAAAACAAGUUCGACUUUCGUAAAAAAGCAAAUAGGGGCUUAGAUUAUCCUCCACAUAUUAGGCAGAAAAUGCACGCAAACUGAUUAGCCGUUUUGGCAUUUUCAAUAGCUAAGGUUGUUAGAUUUUAUAGACUUGAUCUUUAGGUGAUUCGGAGUUCUAAUCAUACUGCUAGUUUAUGUAAAACAAUUCCUAAGUGACUGCGUAGUUUCCCACUCAUUAUAAUUAGAAGUGGUCAAACCAAUAGACAUGUUAUCUAGAUGGAUUAUUCAACAGUUGACAGUGACAACAACGAAGGUUAUUUAGAAUUAUUCAGUUGUUCCUAUAGGCAUUCUUUCUAGCGACGUUCAACAAGACACUUUAUGAAGUUCCUGUUUUAGUACUUAAUACAUAUUGUAAUUAGUCUAUGGACAUGAGUUCUACCUCUGAUGAGUAAAACUACUAUUAGCUUCUUAUAGACAUGCAUAUUAACUGAGUAAGUAUGACAAUCGAUUAAACCUAUAUGCAUGAUUCCUAGAGAGGGAGAUUUCAAUAUGCUGCACUGAAAGUUGAAAUUUAGUUAGUUUAUUUCCAAGAAGUAUGGUGUCUAAUAAUGUAAAGAAAAUUAGGUAGGAUAUUCACAUAACUUAAUUGAGCUAAAGUAAAUUCCAAUAGGCAUGUUAUCUAACACGUAAUAACAAACAAAGUAAACAUCUCAGCAAGUUUUCUAACAUAAAAUAGCAAAAUAUUUUGAAUAAAGUAAAGCCUAUAGGUAGGUUAUCUAACAUACAAUAGCAGAAUGUAAACACCUAUAGGCAUGUUAUCGAUCCAUUUCAUGCAAAAUAUCGAAAAUAAUCCCAUUUACCAAUUUAUUAUUAGCCCAAUUGUUGUUGCAAAUAAUUAUUACAUAUAAGAAUUGAAUGAAUGGAUUAUCAGUAUAUAAGUUGUAUGUGAUAACCAAAAGGGUCAUCACCUGUGUUUUUACCCAUUUUGUAUUUCCAAGGCCUUGAAAACCUCGUUCAGGGUUGCCUCGAUUUAUGUGCGCAAUCCUGACGCGUAGCCGGAAAGCUUAAAUAUGAAGUCUGUGUUAAAAAUAAUGAAUUUCGAUAUUAAUAUGAUUAAAGUUUACUCUGCUCAACAUUUUGGGUAAACGGACCCGGACCCCUGAUUUGACGUUGUCAAAGGAUCCAUAAGAAAAUAUGGGACUUAGGCGUAUGUUCGGAAUCGAAUUUCGAGGUCUCGAUCCCGAGAAAUGAAUUAUUUUAAAAAUUAUUUUUCUAAAAUUAAUAUAAAAAUUUGAGAACAAAAUAGAUUAGGAAGUGUCGAUAUCGGACCCGUAUUUCUGUUCCGGUGCCGGUACAGGUCUUAUGUGUAGUUUAAGCGCAUUCUGUAAAAUUUGUUGGAAAACGGACGUCAUUUGACGUAUUUCGGGCUUAAAAUGGAGAAAUUAGUGUUUUAUGAAAAGUUGGAAGAAAUCAUAUGUUUUGAGGCUUGAUUCUAUGUAUAUGAUGUUAUUUUGGCGAUUUGAUCGUGCGAGUAAGCCUGUAGGAUGUUCUUGAGGUUUUGUAUAUGUUCUGGUUGGAGCCAAAGGCUCAGGUGAGUUUUGAAUAGGUGUCAAGUUGCAUUUUGAACCUUGGAAAAAUUUCAACCAUAACUGACCUGCAGGAUUUGCAUUUGCGAAGCCUGGUUUGCAAAUACGAGUUCGCAAAUGCAAAAGGUCAGCUCGCAAAUGCAAGGAAUGUGCCGGCCUGAGGUCAUCGCAAAUGCGAUGUAAAACCUGCAAAUGCGAGAACCAGGUUCCGCAAAAAAGACCUCAUGGUUUGCAAAUGCGAACCUCCAGUUUUCCUCAUUUUUCGCAAAUGCAAAAACGUCUCUCGCAAUUCCCAAGCCUGAUGGGUUCGCAUUUGUGAACCCAAAUUCGCAAUUCCCACAUUUGAGGCAUGUAUUUUGCAUAUUUAGACGAUUUUAAGCUUUAUUUUUCACAUUCUUUCAAACUCAAACACCCAUAGGCGAUUUUCCAAGAAAUAUUUCUUCCCCAAAUUAUUUGUAAGUCAACUUUUACUUAAUUUCUUCAAUCUUUAACAUCAUUAAACAUGUUUUCAUCUUCAAAUCAAGGAUUUCUAUGGGUGAAAAUGGGAAGUUUAGGUAGAACUUUUCGUAAAAUUGGGGAUUUGGACCUCAAAUUGAGGUUCGAUUUUAAUACAAAUCAUAGAUAUGAACUCGUGGGAGAAUGGGUAAUCGAAUUUUGGUACAAACUUCGAGUUUUGACCACGUGGGCCCGAGGGCAUUUUGGAAAAUUUUUAGCAAAACUUUGGGAAAUUCAUUCUUAUGCAUUCAAAUUGAUUCAAUUAGCAUUUGUUGAUACAUUCAAGUAAUUUGUGACUAGAUUUGAGCGGUUUUUUUUGUGAAUUCGAGGGGUAAAACUAUACUAGAGGCCUGAGUUGAUCUUGGAGCAUUCGAGGUAAGUGCUUGGUCUAACUUUGGCUUGAGGGAAUAGGAGUAGAGUCUUAUUUGCUAAUUGCUAUUUGUCGAGUACGGUAUAUAGGCAUGGUGACGAGUAUCUAUACACUAGUGCCAAGCAUGACCGUGUGUCCUUAUAUUGUGAUUUACUCUGAACUGUUGUGAUUCUUCCAUGCUUAUUUGAUGGUUUCUAUAUGCUGUAAAGAGCAUGAGAAAGAGAUUAUGUUUAUAUAACUCCGUGGAGCAUUGGCUCAAUUUGUUUUACGGGCUGAGAAAGUACAUGAUAUGAAAUGACUCUUUGGAGCAAUGGCUCGAUGAUAAGUGAAUUAUAAAGUGAGAAGUGUAAGUAAGAGGAAGAUUUGAUGGUUAUUCCCUUGCCGAGACAUUUUAUUGGUUUUGUUGACUUUUCUCCCUUGCUGGGAUUUAGUUGUGUUGUAUAUUCCCUUGCCAAGAUUCCUUUUACUAGUUAUUACUCCCUUAUCUUUUAUUUAUGGCUGUUUCCUGGGUGAGGUGCUCCGAUAUAUGUAUGGAUCGGGUUGCACGCUGCAACAAUGAUAAUUGUGGAUCCGGUUUCAUGCCGCAACAACACUACAUGAUAUGGAUUGGUUGCACGCCGCAACGACGAUACUUGUGGAUCUGAUUGCACGCCGCAACAGUAUUGUUAAGUGAUUUGAUCGGGUUGUCCGCCGCAACAAAUUAUAGAUUAAGUGUGUAUAUUCCGGAUUUAAGUUUCUAUUGGCUGUCCUAUCUUUGAGUUUAGGCUUCUUGUUUAUAACUAUUCCCUCCCCACAACAUGUUCCCCGUCCCUUUAUAAAUUGCUUAUUUCCUGUUUAUUGUCUCAAUAUAUUUCAUAACUGCACUGGUUUAUCUUGUAUUCUGGUCUAGUCUCGUCACUACUUCGCUGUGGUUAGGCUAGACACUUACCAACACAUGAGGUUAGUUGUGCUGAUGCUACACACUAUGCAUCUUUUUGCACAGAUAUUAGUGUCGGAGCAGUAGCUUUGGACAGUAGUUGAGGAUUUGGGAGCUGAAUUCAGUCCAGAGACCCGAGGUAGCCUUGCUGAUGUCCGCAGGUCUGAAGUCUCUCUAUGUCUAUCUUAGUUUGUUCUCUUUGUACUGAAACAAACAGAUUCAUGUUUUAUUCAGACAUUGUAUAUAGUAUUCUCCAGAAAUUCGUGAGUUAUUGACUUCAGUUCUUGGGUAGAGUUGUGUUGAAUUUCUGGUAUUCUCUCAGUUAAUUUUAUUUAACACUUCCACUUUAAUAUUAAAUGCUCCAUUGUUUCUAAUAUUGUCGAUGUUCGCUAAAAGAGAUAAUUAAUAAUUGGCUUGCCUAGCUUCUAUUAGUAGGCGCCAUCAUGACUCCUGACGGUGGAAAAUCCGGAUCGUGACUAGUUGGUAUCAGAGCACUAGGUUACAUGGGUCUCACAACUCACAGACAAAGUCGGUAGAGUCAGAGGAAUCAGUACGGAGACGUCUAUAUUUAUCCCCCAGGUGUCGAGUUGAAUUUUGAACCUUUGGAAAAUUGCAGCCAUAACUGAUCUGCAGGCUCGCAAAUGCGAUUUCACAAAUGCAAUUUCACAAAAUGCGAUUUCGCAAAUAUGAAAGGUCAGCUCGCAAAUGCGAGGAAUGCACCGUCCGGAGGUCAUCGCAAAUGUGAUGUAAAACCUCGCAAAUGCGAGGACAAGGUUCCGCAAAAGCAACCUCACGGUUCGCAAAUGCUAACUUCCCAUUUUUCUCAUUGUUCGCAAAUGUGAACAGGUCUCUCGCAAUUCCCAAGCCUGAUGGGUUCGCAUUUGCGAACCCAAAUUUGCAAUUCCCACAUUUGAGGCAUGCAUUUUGCUAACUUAGACGAUUUUAAGCUUUAAUUUUCACAUUCUUUCAAACUCAAACACCCAUAGGCGAUUUUCCAAGAAAUAUUUCCUCCCCAUAUCAUUUGUAAGUCAACUUUUACUUAAUUUCUUCAAUCUUUAACAUCAUAAAACAUGUUUUCCUCUUUAAAUCAAGGAUUUCUAUGGGUGAAAAUGUGAAUUUUAGGUAGAGCUUAGGUUUUCUUAAAAUUGGGGAUUUUGACCUCAAUUUGAGGUCCGAUUUUAACACAAAUCAUUGGUAUGAACUCGUGGGCGAAUGAGUAAUUGAGUUUUGGCACGAACCUCGAAUUUUGACCAUGUGGGCUAGGGGCAUUUUGGAGAAAAACUUUGGUAAAUUCAUUCUUAUGCAUUCAAAUUGAUUCAAUUAGCAUUUGUUGAUACAUUCAAGUAAUUUGUGACUAGAUUCAAGCGAUUUUAUGGUGAACUCGAGGGGUAAAGCUAUACUAGAGGUUUGAGUUGAGUUUGGAGCAGUCGAGUAAGUGUUUGGUCUAACUUUGUCUUGAGGGAAUAGGAGUAGAGUCUUAUUUACUAAUUGCUAUAUAUCGAGUACGAUGUAUGGGUAUGGUGACGAGUAUAUAUACACUAGUGUCAAGCAUGAUCGUGUGUCCUUAUAUUGUGAUUUACUCUGAAUAAUUGUGAUUCUUUUAUGCUUAUUUGAUGGUUUCUAUAUAUUGUAUGGAGUAUGAGAAAGAGAUUUUGUUUAUUAAACUCCAUAAAGCAUUGGCUAGAGUUGUGUUACGAACUGAGAAGGUAUGUGAUAUGAAAUGACUCUUUGGAGUGAUGGCUCGAUGAUAAAGUGAAUUAUAAAGUGAAAAGUGUAGGUAAGAGGAAGAGUUGAUGGUUAUUCCCUUGCCGGGAUUCCUUUCACUAGUUGUUACUCCCUUAUCUCUUAUUUAUAGUUGUUGCCUAUGUGCGGUGCUCUUAUAUAUGUAUGGUUAGGUUGCACACCGCAACAAUGAUAAUUUAGGAUCAGGUUGCACGCAGCAACAAUACUACAUGAUAUGGGUUGGGUUGUACGCUGCAAUAGUGAUACUUGAGGAUCAGGUUUCACGCCACAACAGUAUUGUUAAGUGAUUGGAUCAGGUUACGCGACGCAACAAAUUACAGAUUAAGUGUGUAUAUUCCAGAUUUAAGUUUCUGUUAGUUGUGCUAUCUUUGAAUUUAGGCCUCUUGUUUAUAACUGUUCCCUCCUUACAGAAUGUUCCCCCUUCCUUUAUAAACUGCUUAUUUCCUGUUUAUUUUCCGCAAUAUAUUUCGUAGCUGCACAUGUUUAUCUGGUAGUCUUGUCUAGCCCCGUCACUACUUCACCGAGGUUAGGCUAGGUACUUAUUAGCAGAUUGGGUCAGUUGUGUUGAUGCUACACUCUUUGCAUCUUUCAGCACAGAUCACAGUGCUGGAACAGUAGCUUUUGGACAGCAGUAGAGGAUUUCGGAGCUGACUUCAGUCCAGAGACCCGAGGUAGCCUUGCGGACGUCCGUAGGCCCAGAGUCUCUCUGUAUCUAUUUUAGUUUGUUCUCUUUGUACUGAAACAAACAGAUUCAUAUUUUAUUCAGACAUUGUAUUUGGUAUUCUGUAGACAUUCUUGAGUUAGCGAGUCCAGUUCUUGGGUAGAGUUUUAUUGAAUUUCUGCUAUUCACUCAGUUAAUUUUAUUUAAGACUUCUGCUUUAAUAUCAAAUGCUCCAUUGUUUCUAAUAUUGUUGAUGCUUGCUAAAAGAGAUAAUUAACAAUUGGCUUGCCUAUCUCCUAUUAGAAGGUACCAUCACAACUUUCGAGGGUUGGAAAUCCGAAUCGUGACAUUAUAGGAAGCCUGCAACAGGCCUAGAUACACCUGGACAGGCUAGGCCUUAAACUCACAAUUACUCCAAAAGACCAUGUUCAUUGAUACAUAGUGACCAACACCGAAUGAUUUUACCAUAUCUUAGAACCCAAAUCUCUAGAUGUCAGAGUUUUCAUGGGCAUCAAGAACCCAGGGUAGUGCUCACGCUAGAGAAGAAUGAUCAGAACAGUUCAAGAAAAACUAGGGACCAAAUCCUAGUGUGUUAGAGUUCACGAGGGUCUCAUAUGAUCCUUGAGCAGUGCUCACACUAGAAGUGGAAGGCCGGGGGAUAGAACUUAAAUUGCUUUGUCUUUCAGCCAGCAAAGACUGUGAAUUUAAGAGAGCGGAAUAGGAUUAAGGGGUAUACUUAGGGACAGUAUCAAACAUAGAACAAAUAGUAAUACUUGAACCUAAGCAUACUUAAUAAUGUUUUAAGGAUUAACAAAGUCAUAUGCUAAUAAGGAUCUGUUCUAUCCAUGCUGCACAAAAAUAACAAAGACUUCAGAUCAAACUAAGUCAUAGAAGCUCAUUGAAUAAUAUUAGGUCUGUAGCACACUAAUUAGUAUUAAGGACAUGAUUAAACAAUUAAUCGAAUGUAUCAUAACAUAGUAAGCAUAGAACCAGAAAAAUCACAUAGCAACAGGUUCAACAACAAGCUAGUGAAUCUGCUAAGGCAUACAUGAUUAACCAGUUCUUAAGAAAGGUGUGAAAUCAUGUUUAAUGCUAAAGGACAGAUUUAAAAUAAAUUUACUAAUUGAUUCAACUGAAUUUAACAUGUUUUAAAUAUAGAUAAUAACUAGUCUAAUAACAGUAACAUAUUAAACGAAUAAUAAAGUAGUAAAGGAUUCAAUAACUCAUCAGUUAAGAUGAAAUAGAAAAUGAAUCUAACAAUGUAGCAAUGGUCACUAACAGAGACAGACAAUAGAGGAUUUCUGGCCUUUGCUUCCUACCGGCCAAGAAUAAAAACACAUUAUAAUAGUAGUGUAUAUUUUAUGGUAGUGAGAAUAUUUCAAACUCUAAGUCUGUUUAAAGGGGAAUAGGGGAAGGGUUUAAAUAGUACUGAAAUUGAACACACAAAUAUGGCAAUAAUUAGUCAAAAUACUAGAAAAUAAAGUACUUAACUAUUAGUAAGAAAAGAAAAGUUUGAAACCCUUAUUUAGGCAAAAUAUACAAAACUGGCAGGAAUAACAAGCAAGAGAUAUAUAUAGACAUAUUGACAUAUAGACAGAGAUUUUAACAAAAUAAUUAAAGUAUCGAACUAGAUUUGGUUAUAUUUUCUAGAAUAACAAACCCCACAUUUGGGGCAAGUAAAAAUCGCAAAGAUAAUAAGGAAAGGAUCAUAAUAAGAUGCGUGUAGACAUAUAGAUGAAAAUAUUAACAAAAUAAUUAAAGAAUCAAACCAGAUUUGAUUAGAUCUAGAAAUAUCUAAUACCCUAGUUUUAGGGUAAGUAAAAAAAAUCACAAAAAUACUCAAAGAUUCAUGGAAAUCCAUACCAUAAUAGAGCAACAAAGACACAAAAGAUCCAGAAGUUGAACCAUUUAGGUUUGAGGUUGAAUAAAAUCUGCUUGCCAUGUAUAGGCAAGCGAAAUAUAUAGAGAGUCCCAGUACUAAAGAGAAGUGAGGUAUGGUAAGAAACCGCUAGGGAAUCUCAUGUCUGCUGGGAUUAGGGGAGGAGAUUAGGGGAGACGGAUACAUUUUAGGGCAUGAAUAGAGGAGAGGAUUUAAGGGCGGCAUGCCGGUGAGAAUGAUUAAGUUUAGGGGGGUUUGGUUAGUUAAAACGGUCCGGUGUAAUGUGGACCGUUGAUCUCACAAU
rnacentral:lncRNA from 1 species